AGCAAGCCACGUGGGUGACUUCUUUUCAAAGUUCUCUGCCUCAGAGGAGGAAGCCCCAUGGGUGGAGGCCAGGCCCGAGGCCAUCCUGCUCUGGGCCAGAGCGUGCCUGUGUCUGAUGAGCGAGGACAUGCCUCGUCUGGCUGAGCCUUCCAUUUCACACCGGCAGCUCGAACCCCCCAUCACGGCUUCCUUUUGGGCUCCCCUCCUCAGGGGACCGAGCUUGAAAUGUGCUUGCCCUUCAUCCCUAAGGCCUGCGUCCCUUCCUCAGAGAGGACUAAGCCCCUCUCCCAGUCUUGAUGUUCUCCGAGGCCCUUCUUAUUCACAGAACCUAUCUGGCUUAUUUAUUCGCUUGCUUGCUUCUGAUGUCUUCUCUUACUGAAAGGAAUCGAAGGGCCAAGGAAUGUGUUUUUCGUUGAUGUCAACUUGCUGCAAAGGACCACACCUGCUUCUCGACCCAGGAACGUGGGAAAGGGAAAGGCUUGGCUUGUUUUGGUGGAGAUGGAGAUGCUGGUAACAGUGGAGGAAUGCCCUCCUUCUGAUUCACAGUGGGGAGGUGCUCUGGGCCCCUGCCACUGCCCGAGGACUUCAGGUAAGUCAGCCCGUGGCCCCCAGCCCUUCCCUGCCAGACGCCCUGGCAGACGGCUUGUUCUGACAAGUAUGCGCUUUCUGGAUGGAACAGCCUCCCUUUUGUCCAAACCCUUCCUUUGAAUUUAAAAUGCACAAAGAACCUUUCGAAGAGGAAAAGAAUGGGAUCAGGAAGAGGAGGCUGUAUCUCAUUUGGACACUCAAGCCCUCAGCUCCUGCCCAAGAGUUUCUGGAAUUUGCUCCCACAUCACGUCAUGACUUUUGGCUCCCAGCCAGGUGCGGUGGCAUCUGUGGCUUCAUCCUUCUGGGAAGUCAGGGUCAUGUUCCCUUGAGUCUUCUCCCUUUCCUCUCCCCAGCUUUUGGUUGUCCUGCUGAGAGGAUGCGGCAUUUGAGCAGUAGCUUCUGGAGCCCAGAGUGAAGCCCCACCCAGGCACCCUGACAGGACCACAGGAAUGCUCCUGGCACAGCAAGCAGGACUCUUGAGAAGCUCAGCCUCCACGCUCCUUGUAGAUGUUCAGUUCAAACUCCACAGUUUGUGUGACUCACUGAAGGGCUUGGUUUGGCUCUCGCUGACGAGUCUGUCAUCGGUGCCAGGUGACACGCUUUUCCCCUCCUCCCGUCUAGUCCUCUCUCUUGCCCCAGGGCUUCUGGUGGGGAAGUUUAACCUCCUCUUCAUAAGCAGUGGGAGGGCUACUGUGCUGCCCUCUGGCCCAAGCUCUGGUAUUCCCUUUGCAGUGGUGGGUGCUCUCAUUCCUUUGCAAUGUGCCCUGCAGUGUGAACCCAGGGGAUCCAUGAGACAGGGAACUCACGUCUGUUUUCUUCAUUUGGUGUAGCAUGCCAUUGGGCGUUUGCCAGACAGGGCCUAUCAUGUGGGCCCUACACCUAUUCACACACCUGCCAUUUGCCUUCAGAAUCCUGUUCCCAGUGGGUAAUGGGUUUAAAAGCCCAUAGCUGAGUUUAUCCACAUUGGAUCCGACCCACAUUCCAAUGCUCUUGUAAGUCUCCAGUUGGUCAAAUGAGCAGUUUGAUCCCUUGAUCCUUCAAAAUACUGGAUAUAUUUAUUUCUUCUUGCCUUUUGAUCUUUCAAGCUUGAAAUUUCUCCGCACAUAAAAGUCUUCAAAAUGCCCUCAAACUUCUGUCUCCAAAGGCAAUUUUUUUUCACUUUUUCAUUUUUUUGUAGAGAUAGUCUCACUAUGUUGCCCAGGCUGGUCUUGAACUCCUGGCCUCAAGUGAUCCUUCCCCCUUGGCUUCCCAAAGUGCUGGGAUUACAGGUGUGAGCCUCUGUGCCCAGCCACCAAAGGCAUUUUUACUUGGCUCUGUACAGUGGAGCUGCUUCUCUAUUUGGAGGUUGAAGUUUGUGUCAAGUUCUUGAGUUUGUAAGAAUAGGACAUGAAAGCAGAGAGCCUUUUAAUCAGAUGAGCAGCUAUCUAUGUUAUGUUUUCACAGAUUUUGAUUCUUCUUUUUUUGAGAUGGAGUCUUGCUCAUCCGCCCAGGCUGGAGUGCAGUGGCGCGAUCUUGGCUCACUGCAACCUCCGCCCCCCAAGUUCAAGUGAUUCUCCUGCCUCAGUCUCCCAAGUAGCUAGCUGGGACUACAUGCGCGUGCCACCACACCUGGCUAAUUUUUGUAUUUUUGUAUAUAUUAGUAGUAGAAACAGGGUAGGCUGGGCGCUGUGGCUCAAGCCUGUAAUCCCAGCACUUUGGGAGGCCGAGGUGGGUGGAUCACGAGGUCAGGAGAUCGAGACCAUCCUGGCCAACAUGGUGAAACCCCGGCUCUACUAAAAAUACAAAAAUUAGCUGGACAUGGUGGCAUAUGUCUAUAAUCCUAGCUACUCAGGAGGCUGAGGCAGGAGAAUCACUUGAACCGGGGAGUCAGAGGUUGUAGUGAGCCGGGAUUGCGUCACUGCACUCCAGCCUGGCAACAGAGAGAGACUCCAUCUAAAAAAAAUAAAAAAUAAAAGAAAACAGGGUUUCAGGGUUUCACUAUGUUGGCCAGGAUAUUCUCGAUCUCGUGACCUCAUGAUCCGCCCGUCUCAGCCUCCUAAAGUGCUGGGAUUAUAGGCGUGAGCCACCGCACCUGGUUGAUUUUGAUUAUUCUAAGUAGGGAUAGUCGAAAUCUUCAUAGUGUUUGACAUUUCAUGUAUUUAUCAGCUGAAACUGAUUGUUUUCAUGGUUUUGAGGAAUCUCAGUGAAAUAAUUCAGUGUUGCCAGAUCCAGGGAAUCUUUUCUCCCCAAGGCAUUUGCUGUAUAAUCAAUAAAUGUAUGUAUCAUAUGGAAAGGUAUGAUUAGAGUACACUUAGAAUUAGUUUAUUUCUCUAAAGAUGCUUUUACCUUAGCUGGGCAUGGUGGUACGCACCUGUAGUCCCAGCUACUUGGGAAGCUGAGGUGGGAGGAUUACUUGAGCCUGGGAAUUUGAGGCUGCAGUGAGCUAUGAUCACACCAUUGCAUUCCAGCCUGGGCCACAGACCCUGUCUCAAAGAAAAAAAAAAGAGAUUUUUAUUUUUUUAUUUUUUUUCUUUUGAGAUGGAGUCUAGCUCUGUCACCCAGGCUGGAGUGCAGUGGUGUGAUAUGGGCUCGCUGCAACUUCUGCCUCCCAAGUUCAAGCGAUUCUUCUGCCUCAGCCUCCUGAGUAGCUGGGAUUAUAGGCAUGCACUACCACCCCCUGCUAAUUUUUUUGUAUUUUUAGUAGACAACCGGGUUUCACCGUGUUAGCCAGGCUGGCCUCAAACUCCUGACCUCAAGUGAUCCACCCGCAUCGACCUCACAAAGUGCUUGGAUUACAGGUGUGAGCUACUGUGCCAGGCCAGAAAAAAUAAAAUAAAAUAAAAUAAAGACGAAUUUACCUGGUCAUUUAAAAAACAACCUAAUGAGCUAGGCAAUUUUCAUUAAGCUUAUUUUCAUAGGGAGAACAAAACACAGUUCUCAACUUCUUGUCCCCCUUUGUCCCUACUUCCCUGAUUCCCUCCUCUCCUACUUGUCUUUCUCUUCUUCUCUCCAGGAGCUGAGAACAGCCCCCUUCCUAUUUGAGGCUGGCCUGUCCAUGCGCACCCUUGGCCUCACAUCAAUGGAGGAUCACCCAUCCCUUCCUCGUGCUAGAAACCCAAUGGCUGUAUUCCAUAAGCCUGCAGGACUCUUGCUCUUCUCCUUAUUUAACUACACCAGCUUAGGAGUAGCCUACAUGCUCCAUCUUCAUUUCCUUACCCCAUCUACUCCACAGUCUACCAUUCUCUUGCUGAGGUUACUUACCUGGCCUCUUUCCUCUACACUCUUUUCCACACUCACUUGUCCAGGUGCACAUUAAUACCUACACCUGACUAUCCUACAGAUAACUCGAAUUCAAGAUGGUGGGGGAAUAAACUCACCAUCUUACUCUAUAUGUCUGCCUGUCCUUCAGUAUUUCUCAUGUGGGAUAAGGGUGCUAUGAUUCACCCACUUGUCCAAGACAGAACACCUCGAUGUCAUUCUUUUUUUAAAUUUUUAAUUUUUUUUUGAGACAGAGUUUCGCUGUUAUCACCCAGGCUGGAGUGCAAUGGCGCGAUCUCAGCUCACUGCAACCUCUGCCUCCCCUUUUCAAGCGAUUCUCCUGCCUCAGCCUCCUGAGUAGCUGGGAUUACAGGCACCCACCACAAUGCCUGGCUAAUUUUUUUUGUUUGUUUGUUUGUCUGUUUUUGUUUUCGAGACAGAGUUUUGCUUUUGUUGCCCAGGCUGGAGUGCAAUGGCAUGAUCUCGGCUCACCGCAACCUCUGCCUCCCGGGCUCAAGCGAUUCUCCUGCCUCAACCUCCUGAGUAGCUGGGAUUACAGGCAUGCGCCACCAUGCCUGGCUAAUUUUGUAUUUUUAGUAGAGAUGGGAUUUCUCCAUGUUGAUCAGGCUGGUCUCAAACUCCCAAUCUCAGGUGAUCCACCCGCCUUGGCCUCUGAAAGUGCUGGGAUUACAGGUGUGAGCCACCGUGCCCAGCCAAUUUUUUGUCUUUUUAAUAGAGAGGGGGUUUCACCACAUUGGCCAGGCUGGUCUCAAACUCCUGACCUCAGGUGAUCCACCCUCCUCGGCCUCCCAAAAUGCUGGGACUGCAGGUGUGAGCCACCGCACCUGGCCUGGAUGUCAUUCUUGACUCCACUUUGCUGCCUUAUUCUAUCACUGAGUUCCACCUGCAUGGUUCCCUUGGCCAGGGAUAACGCCGUUUUUCACCCUCCUGACAGCUCCCAUUCUUCCUGCAAAAUCCUCACCUGAUGUCACUAUGGCUGCAAAGCUUCCCCAGCUUCCUCCCUAAGAGAGACGCCGUGGCACUUUUUUUUUUUUUUGAGACAGAGUCUCGCUCUGUCACCCAGGCUGGAGUGCAGUGGUGUGAUCUUGGCUCACUGCAACCUCCGCCUCCUGGGUUCAAGUGAUUCUCCUGCCUCAGCCUCCUGAGUAGCUGGGACUACAGGCACCCGCCACCAUGCCCGGCUAAUUUUUGUAUUUUUAGUAGAGAUGGGGUUUCACCUUAUUGGCCAGGCUGGUCUUGAACUUCUGACCUUGUGAUCUGCCCACCUCGGCCUCCCAAAGUGCUGGGAUUAUAGGCGUGAGCGACCGUGCCCAGCCUAGACUGUGUUAUUUUGUUCACCCAUGUAUACCUUUAUUCACUCCCUCCUGCCCCAAAUGUUAUUGAACAUCGACUAAGCCAGGCACUCUGCAAACUGUAUCAAUCUAACUGAGGCUCCAUCCCCAACCUGGAGAGCUUGUAAGCUAAGCACUAUUAAAGGAGUUCCUGUAUGAACCAAAUCCUGGAGUCCUCCACACAGUUAUUGAUGCAGAGUUGCUCAGCAUCUUUCAUAGAGAAAAUGCAGUCACAUCCAAUCUGUCAUCAAUAAUAUGAAAUACUUAUUUUGCUUAUAUUCAAUAUCAUCAGAGGAUCAUUCAGAACAGGUGCUACCUAGAUUUAAGACUCUUGGUGCUGUCAUUAUAAUCAAAAGCACCUAACGACAGCCCACACAUGCUAAUGCAAACAUAAUAAUAUUAGUGCUUUUGGUUAAAACACGGCUCAGUGAAAGAUUUCUGCAGGCCAGACGUAGUAUGCAAGUGAAACUUUAUUUUUAAACCCUUUGAGUAGCCCAGUGAAACAAGAAUACUGUAAUAAAGGUUAUGUGCAGAGUGGAAACUUAUCCCAGGGGUUUCUCCCACAAUACACCUCACCUGGGUAAACAUACAUUUGCAUAUCAAUGCAUGGAUUACAGACUUUUCCUUUUCUGAGAAAGAGAAGGUACCCUGUUACACACACAGGAGACCAACAGCCAGGAGCUUUCAAGUCCCAUGCAAUCUGAGAACAGAGGACUUAGGUCUUCAGAGCCCCAGAGGCCAGUCCUCUAUAGCAAUCUCUCUCUUCUUUCUCUUAGUGCAUGGGGAUUCUGUUUUGUAACUCGCCCCGCCUUCAGAGAUGGCCUACUCCCAUCUGGGAGGCUGUGCUGGCUUCUGCAGGAGCCAGCCAGAUUUUGAAAUUGCAUUUGGAGCCAGUCACUGUAGAAAGGCUGGUUCUUGGAGGGGAAGAAAGGUGGCUUUGAUAGUUAUUGAUGAGCUCACCAGGUAGGAAUGGGACCUUUCAAAUAGGGCAAAUUAAAUCCCAGGCCUUGAGCUUGGGGCCUGGGAUUUGCUGCUGCUGCAUUGCAAAGAGCAGGUGGGCAGGCUCUGGGAGUAUCAGAUGCACAAAGUACAGGUGAACAGGUAACCAGAUUGGUAUCUCUGCAGGUGCCCUGAGGCUGGGAAACAGCACUGGCGGGGUGGAGAGGCAGCCUGCAACUCGGUGUCCCUCUUGCCUGAAGCAGCCAACAGGUUAACCCAGGUCUGUUCCUGCAGGACUGACAUGCGCUGGUUCCAGCCGAUGAAAGCAGAUGCAAAUCAGUGCAAUUUCCUCUGCAGCAAUAAUUAACCCACGGGAACCUUGCUGGAGCAGGUAGUUUCAGGAGAAUGGCACUGAAGAUGUUGGAGAGAGAUUAGCAUUUUUCAGCUCUCAUCGCAGUGAUUUGCGCUGCAUUUUAGUGUGUAUUCAGUUCCAACUCAUUACCAUAAAAAAAAAAACCCUCAUACAUUAAAUUGCUAGGCAGGGGGAAUCGACUUUGUUUAGGUAGAUAGAGAGCCUGGGAUGCUAGUGGACAUUGCUGGAGAACUGGCCGUGAAAGUGUGUCCUCAGUUUCCUGAUUUGUCAUGGGAGGAACUUGGCCUCUCCAACCUCUAGAACCAGUCCAGCUGGCAACCUACUAUUCUGUUUCCUUCCUUCCUUCCUUCCUUCCUUCCUUCCUUCCUUCCUUCCUUCCUUUUUAUUUGAGAUGGAGUCUUGCUCUGUCUCCCAGGCUGGAGUGCAGUGGCGUGAUCUCAGCUCACAGCAACCUCCGCCUCCCGGGUUCAAGCAAUUCUCCUGCCUCAACCUCCUGAGUAGCUGGGAUUACAGGCGCAUGCUACCAUGCCCGGCUAAUUUUUGUAUUUUUUUUAGUACAGACGGGGUUUCACCAUGUUGGCCAGGCUGGUCUCAAACUCCUGACCUUGUGAUCCGCCUGCCUAGGCCUCCCAAAGUGCUGGGAUUACAGGCGUGAGCCACUGCCCCAGGCCUGUUUGCUUUUAUGAAUUGGAGGACUGCCUGGGCCCAGGGAAGCCGCUAUUCAUCUGCCUAAGCUGUAGCUGUUGGAUGACACAGGAUCCUCAUCUCAAGUUGCUUUGAGGACAAGACCACUUUCUUGGGCCCCUCUGCACGUGGGCAGUCCUUCCAUGAUGACAGCUGCCCUGUUAUGGUGGGAUUACUUUGGAGGGUGGAUGUGGCCCAGGGAAGUGUGUAUUCUCAGUGGGCAGGCCUUCUGUUUUGAUCAUUUUGUAGCCCAGCAUCUAACACAAGGUGCUCGUGACUCAAGACCUUAUGUAAAGAGGGAGGGAUGAACACAAGGAAGAAAGUUCCCCAGAAAUCCUUCCUUACACCUGAACCGAUUCCUUCCUAUAUGUCCUCAGCUUGAGUCAUUUUCUGUAGCUCCCUCUUAUUUCCAUCAGAUACUUGGAUACAUUUUAAAUUGUAUCCCCCGAAUAUCAGUGAGAGAAAUCACAUCCAUGAUCUACACUGCAUUGACCAGGCCAUCCAGACAGAGAGCGGGGAUGGCUUGUCUCCCAGGGCAGUGGUGCCACGUGCCAGCCUAGAGGUUUCGGUUUACCUGCAUGCACCACGGUCCCUUGAGAAUCUGUGCCCUUCCCCUCCUGGUAGGGGAUGCUUGGAAAGGGUCAAUCUGAGGCCCUUGCUUUCAUGAAGGGCCUUGAGGCCCACAGCCAGGCUUCUAGAAAUCUAGAAUUGACCCUGGUUUCCAGAAUGACCAGUUUGCAUUUCCUUUAUCUGCACAAAGAAGCGGAUUUCUUGGGGGUCUUCUGGGUGUGAGCGUAGUGAGUGUGAAUGCAUCAAGGUGCCUAAAAAUACAAGGACAGAUGCCAAAUAUAAGCAUUUUUACCUUGAAGCUGCCUUGAAUUGAGUUUCGCAGGAAA
rnacentral:lncRNA from 1 species